UACGUAGGAGGCGAGCGUUGUCCGGAAUUACUGGGCGUAAAGAGCGCGUAGGCGGCACGGUACGACCGGUGUGAAAGCCCCCGGCUCAACUGGGGAGGGUCACCGGUAACCGGCCGAGCUAUGAGUGCAGGAGAGGGAAGUGGAACUCCGGGAGUAGCGGUGAAAUGCGUAGAGACCCGGAGGAACACCAGUGGCGAAGGCGGCCUGCUGGGCAGUAGCGUGACGGCUGAGGCGCGACAGCGUGGGAGCAAACAGG
rnacentral:rRNA from 1 species